rnacentral:rRNA from 1 species
UGCCAGAGCCGCGGUAAUACGAAGGUCCCGAGCGUUAUUCGGAAUCACUGGGCGUAAAGGGCGCGUAGGCGGUAUAAUUAGUCAGUGGUGAAAUCCCUAAGCUCAACUUAGGAACUGCCUUUGAUACUAUUAUGCUAGAGAUCGAGAGAGGUUAGUGGAAUUCCAAGUGUAGAGGUGAAAUUCGUAGAUAUUUGGAAGAACACCAGUGGCGAAAGCGACUAACUGGCUCGUUUCUGACGCUGAGGCGCGAAAGCGUGGGUAGCAAACAGGAUUAGAUA